CAGAGCAACAAACCAGAUUAGAUGCUGUGGACUUGAGAAUUACACGGAGUGAAAGGCGCUGAGGAGCACAAGUUGGAGGUGAUGACUCUGAGAGUGGAGCUGAAUAACAUUUGGGCUAAACUGCAGCUCCACAAUGAAACAGAACGGCUGCAGAAGAAUGAGCAAGUUUGCUUUCUCUGUUGGUUUGAUCGAUCAGGUUGGACAGUUCAAGCUGGAGACCUCACUGAAAUUCAACAUUUGCAGUACUUACAAUGUAACUUCAGGCAGGUUCAUCGCACCAGCCAGAGGUCUACUACUUCAGAUUCACUGCCUUUGAUCACUGAAUUGGAAAACUCUGGUCUUCACCUUUACUGCAAUAACCAGAAAAUCAUUUCUAACUGGGAAAACAAGAAUAAUGAAGGCCAUUUGUACCUGUCAGAUGCAUUAACUCUUCAAAUAAAUGAGGGGGAGUUAGUGUACACGCACCUUCCCUCUGGGCACAGCCUUUAUGAUGAUCAAAAUAUUCCCAACACAUUAAGUGGUCUCUUAUAUUUCAGUCUUAAAUGCCUCCCACGUGGCGGUCACGUUGUGCUGCCCAUUUAUGGUGACCCACGACAUAACUAAAUAUUUAAUGAUCAGCAAUUGGUGCUCCUGUCAUCCAAUGUUGUGCAUUAUAACAUAGACAAUUUUCUCUGCUAAAUUACCUGCGAUUAGCCUUCAGUGCGAGUUUUAUGAACUACAGGUUAAGGACAUAUGUUUACUCCGGCAACAUAGGCGAUUGCUUUGUUUUGAUGAGUUCAGCCUUUAAUUGCUUGUCUAGAGUCAUCUCAAGAUGAAAAACUCCACUGAAGCUGCACUUGAUCAAAGCUGCGCUAAAGUGAGGUCUGCAGCGAGUGAGUAAGAGAACAAAUAGCGAUUUCAAAUUCUGUAUGAAGUUUAUCCGCUAUGAUGCUCACUGGUAAAAAAUACUAGAAAUAAGACAUCUUUUGUGGCAGAGAUGUAUGGGAGUAAAGGGUAACACACGCAUUGGAUCAUCCACACAUAGAAAUAAAGUGUAGUUUAACAACGUAUCUGCAUUUGAAACAAAGAGAGCCCAGGUCUAGUUCUGUGAGGCUUUGAACUAAAUGCUGAUGUCAGCAUGCCAGCAUAGAGUACCUAUUACAAUGAGAGUGCUAAAAUGCUGAUGUAAGGUUUAAAUAGUGAACUAUCUGUGCCUUUUUACCUUAGCUGUUCUAUGGCACUUAAAAAUAUAUUUUGUUUUGUUUUUCCCCCCACCCAUUCACACAGACACCAGUGGAGCUCACCUGCUAUCAGGAGCAGCUUGGAGCUCAGCGUGAGCUACAUGAUUUGCCAUGUUUGCUAUCAUUAGCAAAUUAGCAU